rfam:Gossypium raimondii Chr04_contig_334, whole genome shotgun sequence.
UUUUAAAAGUUUCAUCCAUUUGUACGGUUAAAAAUUGAUGUGAUUGACAAAAUAACCAGAUAGUAAUACAUGAUGUGCCACGUGUACCUCAUGUUGACGUAUAAGGAACAAUUUUUAAUAGUAGAAAUAGAUUAAAUUUUAAACA